rnacentral:lncRNA from 1 species
GGCCCCGGCGCCGGGGGCGCAGGAAACGCGUCAUCACUCGGGGACGGCGCGCUGCGGUGGGCUCGGCGCCGCUCGGCUCGUGGGCCGGCUAGGCUGCAGCUCUGGGGUCCCCGGGGUCUGUGCCCCGCCGCGCGGUGCGGGAGACUCCGCUAUAGGAAGGGGCUGGGGGGCGCGGGCAGGCCGGGUUCCGCAGGGUGCCUUCCGGGGCGCCGGCCGGGUCCUGAGGCAGCGAGGACCUGGGGCGUGGGGGGCGGAGUCCUCUGCAGCGACCCGGCUGCUGGGACCCCGGGCGGCAGCUCCGGACCCCGGAGCCCCCUGGUAGAGGUCGCUGAGGAUCGGGAGACCGCUGGGGGAAUGGGGGGCAGGAGGGGUGGACUGCACUCAGUUACAAAUGUUCUGCCUCCUGCCGAGCGCUGGGAGCAUCAGUUAUGCCCUUUGCCCCUUCGGUUCACGGUCUCAGGGAGGGGAUGUGAGACGGCGCGGCGCGAUCUGAAGGUUACCACGGGGGCAAGGAGCCUCGGAAGGCGCGUUCCGUGGGAUCCAGUUUUUAAAUACAGGCGGAAAGACUGGACGAACAAGGCCAUCAUGCUGGCUCCGUCUCAGUGUUCGAACAGUCAGGAUGGACUUCAAGAAAGCACAUUUCUUGAGUUACUCAGACUUACCGUAUUUCUUGAAGCACGAAACUGCUGCACUGUAAAUCUAAGAAAGGUGAUGUUGAUCUUAGACAUUUGCCGUGAUUUAUAGAAACACAGCCCUUUGAAGCAAUUGGACAAUGAGCUGCAGACUUGGGGCGCAUUUCAAUAAUUCAAACAUCGUCUGAUACCUCGCAGUUCCAAGAGAAAUGUACAGCUGCCAAGCCCAGAGAACUUCCUGCUGGAAUUCUGCCAGAGAAUAGAAUAGCUCGCUGUGUCGGGGAGGUCCAUCCUUGGGAGGGUUUGCUGUUUGUAAAUUUAAUAAACGACUCACAUCUGCUUAUAAUAUUAUGGAAGUCUAUGCAAAAAGGACUUCUUCCAUAAAAACCCA